UUAAGCGACUAAGCGUACACGGUGGAUGCCCUGGCAGUCAGAGGCGAUGAAGGACGUGCUAAUCUGCGAUAAGCGUCGGUAAGGUGAUAUGAACCGUUAUAACCGGCGAUUUCCGAAUGGGGAAACCCAGUGUGUUUCGACACACUAUCAUUAACUGAAUCCAUAGGUUAAUGAGGCGAACCGGGGGAACUGAAACAUCUAAGUACCCCGAGGAAAAGAAAUCAACCGAGAUUCCCCCAGUAGCGGCGAGCGAACGGGGAGCAGCCCAGAGCCUGAAUCAGUGUGUGUGUUAGUGGAAGCGUCUGGAAAGGCACGCGAUACAGGGUGACAGCCCCGUACACAAAAAUGCACAUGCUGUGAGCUCGAUGAGUAGGGCGGGACACGUGGUAUCCUGUCUGAAUAUGGGGGGACCAUCCUCCAAGGCUAAAUACUCCUGACUGACCGAUAGUGAACCAGUACCGUGAGGGAAAGGCGAAAAGAACCCCGGCGAGGGGAGUGAAAAAGAACCUGAAACCGUGUACGUACAAGCAGUGGGAGCACGCUUAGGCGUGUGACUGCGUACCUUUUGUAUAAUGGGUCAGCGACUUAUAUUCUGUAGCAAGGUUAACCGAAUAGGGGAGCCGAAGGGAAACCGAGUCUUAACUGGGCGUUAAGUUGCAGGGUAUAGACCCGAAACCCGGUGAUCUAGCCAUGGGCAGGUUGAAGGUUGGGUAACACUAACUGGAGGACCGAACCGACUAAUGUUGAAAAAUUAGCGGAUGACUUGUGGCUGGGGGUGAAAGGCCAAUCAAACCGGGAGAUAGCUGGUUCUCCCCGAAAGCUAUUUAGGUAGCGCCUCGUGAAUUCAUCUCCGGGGGUAGAGCACUGUUUCGGCAAGGGGGUCAUCCCGACUUACCAACCCGAUGCAAACUGCGAAUACCGGAGAAUGUUAUCACGGGAGACACACGGCGGGUGCUAACGUCCGUCGUGAAGAGGGAAACAACCCAGACCGCCAGCUAAGGUCCCAAAGUCAUGGUUAAGUGGGAAACGAUGUGGGAAGGCCCAGACAGCCAGGAUGUUGGCUUAGAAGCAGCCAUCAUUUAAAGAAAGCGUAAUAGCUCACUGGUCGAGUCGGCCUGCGCGGAAGAUGUAACGGGGCUAAACCAUGCACCGAAGCUGCGGCAGCGACACUAUGUGUUGUUGGGUAGGGGAGCGUUCUGUAAGCCUGUGAAGGUGUGCUGUGAGGCAUGCUGGAGGUAUCAGAAGUGCGAAUGCUGACAUAAGUAACGAUAAAGCGGGUGAAAAGCCCGCUCGCCGGAAGACCAAGGGUUCCUGUCCAACGUUAAUCGGGGCAGGGUGAGUCGACCCCUAAGGCGAGGCCGAAAGGCGUAGUCGAUGGGAAACAGGUUAAUAUUCCUGUACUUGGUGUUACUGCGAAGGGGGGACGGAGAAGGCUAUGUUGGCCGGGCGACGGUUGUCCCGGUUUAAGCGUGUAGGCUGGUUUUCCAGGCAAAUCCGGAAAAUCAAGGCUGAGGCGUGAUGACGAGGCACUACGGUGCUGAAGCAACAAAUGCCCUGCUUCCAGGAAAAGCCUCUAAGCAUCAGGUAACAUCAAAUCGUACCCCAAACCGACACAGGUGGUCAGGUAGAGAAUACCAAGGCGCUUGAGAGAACUCGGGUGAAGGAACUAGGCAAAAUGGUGCCGUAACUUCGGGAGAAGGCACGCUGAUAUGUAGGUGAAGUCCCUUGCGGAUGGAGCUGAAAUCAGUCGAAGAUACCAGCUGGCUGCAACUGUUUAUUAAAAACACAGCACUGUGCAAACACGAAAGUGGACGUAUACGGUGUGACGCCUGCCCGGUGCCGGAAGGUUAAUUGAUGGGGUCAGCGCAAGCGAAGCUCUUGAUCGAAGCCCCGGUAAACGGCGGCCGUAACUAUAACGGUCCUAAGGUAGCGAAAUUCCUUGUCGGGUAAGUUCCGACCUGCACGAAUGGCGUAAUGAUGGCCAGGCUGUCUCCACCCGAGACUCAGUGAAAUUGAACUCGCUGUGAAGAUGCAGUGUACCCGCGGCAAGACGGAAAGACCCCGUGAACCUUUACUAUAGCUUGACACUGAACAUUGAGCCUUGAUGUGUAGGAUAGGUGGGAGGCUUUGAAGUGUGGACGCCAGUCUGCAUGGAGCCGACCUUGAAAUACCACCCUUUAAUGUUUGAUGUUCUAACGUGGACCCGUGAUCCGGGUUGCGGACAGUGUCUGGUGGGUAGUUUGACUGGGGCGGUCUCCUCCUAAAGAGUAACGGAGGAGCACGAAGGUUGGCUAAUCCUGGUCGGACAUCAGGAGGUUAGUGCAAUGGCAUAAGCCAGCUUGACUGCGAGCGUGACGGCGCGAGCAGGUGCGAAAGCAGGUCAUAGUGAUCCGGUGGUUCUGAAUGGAAGGGCCAUCGCUCAACGGAUAAAAGGUACUCCGGGGAUAACAGGCUGAUACCGCCCAAGAGUUCAUAUCGACGGCGGUGUUUGGCACCUCGAUGUCGGCUCAUCACAUCCUGGGGCUGAAGUAGGUCCCAAGGGUAUGGCUGUUCGCCAUUUAAAGUGGUACGCGAGCUGGGUUUAGAACGUCGUGAGACAGUUCGGUCCCUAUCUGCCGUGGGCGCUGGAGAACUGAGGGGGGCUGCUCCUAGUACGAGAGGACCGGAGUGGACGCAUCACUGGUGUUCGGGUUGUCAUGCCAAUGGCACUGCCCGGUAGCUAAAUGCGGAAGAGAUAAGUGCUGAAAGCAUCUAAGCACGAAACUUGCCCCGAGAUGAGUUCUCCCUGACCCUUUAAGGGUCCUGAAGGAACGUUGAAGACGACGACGUUGAUAGGCCGGGUGUGUAAGCGCAGCGAUGCGUUGAGCUAACCGGUACUAAUGAACCGUGAGGCUUAACCUU
rnacentral:rRNA from 1 species